UACGUAGGGGGCAAGCGUUGUCCGGAAUCAUUGGGCGUAAAGCGCGCGUAGGUGGCCCGGUAAGUCCGCUCUGAAAGUCAAAGGCUCAACCUUUGAAAGCGGGUGGAUACUGCCGGGCUAGAGUCCGGAAGAGGCGAGUGGGAUUCCUGGUGUAGCGGUGGAAUGCGCAGAUAUCAGGAGGAACACCAACGGCGAAGGCAGCUCGCUGGGACGGUACUGACACUGAGGCGCGAAAGCGUGGGGAGCGAACAGG
rnacentral:rRNA from 1 species